rfam:Aspergillus wentii DTO 134E9 unplaced genomic scaffold ASPWEscaffold_5, whole genome shotgun sequence.
GCCGGGCUAGCUCAAUCGGUAGAGCGUGAGACUCUUAUGAGAUUCAUCUCAAGGUUGCGGGUUCGACCCCCGCGUUCGGCU